ACAGGUAGGAAACUGGCUUGAGACUUUAGUCAAGCAAUGAAAAAAAAAAAAAAAUGCUGUUUGUAUCUUUCAGUUGUUCAUUUAACAUAAGCACCAGGAGACUUCAGGCUUAUCCAGAGCUUCAUGUUAUACGAGUAGGAUUGCACAGAAUUUCCCAAGUGACAUUCCACAACACCACAAGGAUUAAGGCAUAAGGUCUGUGAUCAUGGCAGCACCAUGACCACCCUGGCACAGGUACCACAGUGAUGCUGCCCAAGGGUGCCAGGUGUCUCAUGUCAAAGGAGAUGAACCGCAAUUGCUCUCAUUUGCUUGCUUGUGUUGAAUGUGGUAAUGCAGUAUUACAGCACCAGGGCUGAUCUGAUUUAAGGGCAAAUUGGAAAAACAAGUGGCAGCGUCUGGCAGAUGUGACUCACGGCAGGCUCCCGCAGGCUCCACCGGGCCUCACGAUGUAUCCCAGGCUGGCUCUGAGCUUACAGAAAUCCUUCUACUGCUGGGAUACCAGAAUGAACCAUGAUACGCAGGAGCUGCAUUUCUAACAGGCUGGCUAGACUGCACUGUGAGAACACAUGAUGGUGAAACAGAUAUAACAGAAAACUUACCACUUCAACCACUGUUAAGCACCCGACCCAGCUUCACUGCGUAUACUGCUGUUCCACCAUUACAAGAGCCAUCUCCAGGGCUGUGCUAAACCAAGAAGCCACUGGUUUGAAGUGACUCACAAGGACACACCCCACACAAUGCUGUCCCAUCCCUACCCUCUGGAAGGCUAGACAGGAGCAAAGUUAACUGGAGUCUGUAGACAGACUCUACUCUCUAAAUGGAAAAUGGGGUAAAGGCAGUAACUAUUUCCUUAGUGGCUCCUUUCCAAAGAGAACAGAAGAUAAACUGACACUUGUUCAGUUUCAGCAGUGAUAAUAAAAGCAGACAAGCUA